rnacentral:lncRNA from 1 species
GGGGCUUGUGGAGUUGCGCUCACGCUCGCACCUGCCGGUCCCCGCCCUGACCGCGAACGCUCAAGGUUGCCGCACGCAGGUUUUUCCUGAAAUACUAGGCUUUAGAAUUUCACCAUAUGAAUUUUGGGAGAGAGGAGCACAGUUCAGCCCAUAACUAACACACGACGGAAUGAAGUUGAUAAUAGUGAGACCUUGUUGGUACAAGACUAUGUAACAUAACCUGCGCUUCUCAACAAAGAAUUGCUUUUCUGACUUCUGCACUCAACUACUCAACAUGAAGGCAAUAAGAAUGAAGACCUCUAUGUAUAAUAAUUGACUUCCACUUAAUAAAUAAGGUUACUUGGUACACUGGUCGACAAAACCUUGAAAUGUUGAUGUUUAAGGGCUGUUGAUUGCUGGCAGCAAAGAAGUCCAACUGUGCUGGUACCCGAGAUAGCGUCUCCACAUUUUCUUCCAGGAUCAUCACCUUUGUUCUAAAUAGCUCCCACAUAGUGUGAACAGAAGUCAUAUGUUUUAGAUUUUCUGCCUUGGCACCCAGGAAACCAGUAUGAUUGAGUAAACAUAUUAAACUUCCUCUGCAUUUCCAGCCUGAACAGAUGUUGAGUACAAGCUGAUCCACCUACGUUCAACCUGAGAGAGUCCACAUCCACAGACUGUUUCAUUUCCCUUUUUCAAUUUACAUAGAAGCAUAGAUUCUUGCUGGCAUAUACAAAUGCGCCAUUUAAGGCAAUCAAAAAUGGUUCCACAUCUCAUCUGAUUUCCACAAUUGUUGCUGUAACGAUGGACUACUGAGGAGAGAGACAAUUUCUCUGGCACAUCUUCCCACAUUUUAGCAACAUGUUCAUGGAGAGCCAAUAUUCAGUAAUUACAGCCCAAUUCCUCACAAUUUCACAAUUCGCUAACAAUAUGCAUUUUCACAAUGUAAAGCUGAUUUUCCUUUAACCAAAUCAAACAUGAAAAGAUAGCUGCAUGCAAUGGGCAAUCUAGAUCAUUAGAAGAUUGAUGUAAAAUUAGAGGACACUGAGACUGGAAUAGAUUGCAAACUUCAGGGAGCUCAGAAAACUUGUAAACUCUACAUUUUGAGGAAAUAUGUUGUCGAUGCUUUUGCAACUCUAUGCAGUAACUUAACAAAUAAAGCCUUAAAGUAACU